rnacentral:rRNA from 1 species
UACGAAGGGGGCUAGCGUUGCUCGGAAUUACUGGGUGUAAAGCGCGUGUAGGCGGGCGGCCAAGUCUGUGGUGAAAUCGCUCGGCUUAACUGGGCGGGGUCCAUGGAAACUGGUCACCUGGAGGUCGGUAGAGGCAAGUGGAAUUCCCGGUGUAGUGGUGAAAUGCGUAGAGAUCGGGAGGAACACCAGUGGCGAAGGCGGCUUGCUGGGCCGGACCUGACGCUGAGACGCGAAGGCGUGGGGAGCGAACGGG